rnacentral:rRNA from 1 species
GACGAACGCUGGCGGCGUGCUUAACACAUGCAAGUCGAACGGAAAGGCCCUGCUUUUGUGGGGUGCUCGAGUGGCGAACGGGUGAGUAACACGUGAGUAACCUGCCCCUGACUUUGGGAUAACUUCAGGAAACUGGGGCUAAUACCGGAUAGGAGCUCCUGCUGCAUGGUGGGGGUUGGAAAGUUUCGGCGGUUGGGGAUGGACUCGCGGCUUAUCAGCUUGUUGGUGGGGAAGUGGCUUACCAAGGCUUUGACGGGUAGCCGGCCUGAGAGGGUGACCGGCCACAUUGGGACUGAGAUACGGCCCAGACUCCUACGGGAGGCAGCAGUGGGGAAUAUUGCACAAUGGGCGGAAGCCUGAUGCAGCAACGCCGCGUGCGGGAUGACGGCCUUCGGGUUGUAAACCGCUUUCGCCUGUGACGAAGCGUGAGUGACGGUAAUGGGUAAAGAAGCACCGGCUAACUACGUG